rnacentral:rRNA from 1 species
CCUACGGGUGGCAGCAGUGGGGAAUAUUGCACAAUGGGCGCAAGCCUGAUGCAGCCAUGCCGCGUGUGUGAAGAAGGCCUUCGGGUUGUAAAGCACUUUCAGCGGGGAGGAAGGCGUUAAGGUUAAUAACCUUGUCGAUUGACGUUACCCGCAGAAGAAGCACCGGCUAACUCCCUGCCAGCAGCCGCGGUAAUACGGAGGGUGCAAGCGUUAAUCGGAAUUACUGGGCGUAAAGCGCACGCAGGCGGUCUGUCAAGUCGGAUGUGAAAUCCCCGGGCUCAACCUGGGAACUGCAUUCGAAACUGGCAGGCUAGAGUCUUGUAGAGGGGGGUAGAAUUCCAGGUGUAGCGGUGAAAUGCGUAGAGAUCUGGAGGAAUACCGGUGGCGAAGGCGGCCCCCUGGACAAAGACUGACGCUCAGGUGCGAAAGCGUGGGGAGCAAACAGGAUUAGAUACCCGAGUAGUC